rnacentral:rRNA from 1 species
GACGAACGCUGGCGGCGUGCUUAACACAUGCAAGUCGAACGAAGUGGCGAACGGGUGAGUAACGCGUAAUCAACCUGCCCUUCAGAGGGGGACAACAGGUGGAAACGACUGCUAAUACCGCAUACUGAAGGAGGGGAUUGCGUCGGAUUAGCUAGUUGGAGGGGGAACGGCCCACCAAGGCGAUGAUCAGUAGCCGGGCUGGAGGGCUGGACGGCCAAAUUGGGACUGAGAAACGGCCCAAACUCCGUCGGGAGGGCGGAGUGGGGAAUCUUCCGCAAUGGGCGGAAGUCUGGCGGAGCAACGCCGGGGGGGUGAUGACAGCCUUCGGGUUGUAAAGCUCUGUUAAUCGGGACGCGGUACCGGAAUAGAAAGCCACGGCUAACUACGUGCCAGCCGCCGCGGUAAUUC